CUUAAUAGCUCAGAUGCAAGGAUCAAGCUAACCAUCUAUAAAACUUGAAAGGCUGAAAGGUUGGUGGGGAUUUGGGUGGAGUUUGCUUAGCCUACGUUACCAAGUUUUGAUUGGGAUUCUGGAAGCACACAGUGUCUUGGGUUGUUACGUCAACGUGGAUGGGAGUUACAGAUUCAAGGUUUGUAUGCUUACCUCUUUGUUAUAAGUUUAAUGUUUUGUUUACAUGUUUGCAUAUGUAUACACAAGAGGAGCAGAAGUUGAUUACUAAGUGAAGCAGCCAUGUAGAUUUUAUAUCUUGAAGUGUGCUUUCAGUAAAACAAUUGAUCUACUGAAGAAUCAGGUGGGAUCCAAGUAUUCUGUUGGAUAGUGCAACUUUGUUGUUGGUUGGGAAUUCCAGCUUGUUUAUAUCACUACAGUGUUGUAUUAUAUCACUAUGAAUAUCCUUGUUUGAAUCUUAUAGACUAUGAAAGUAUUACCCGUCCCCAUUGUAAACUUCUGAAGCAUGACAAACUUAUUAAUGCAUGGAAGUUUUGCAUUAGAUUUAGUGAUUUCAGUUUUUUAUUGUUCUUCCUCUCAUGGAAGUUUUGCUGGUGGAACUUUAUGUUCUUUGUAUAAUUCAUUUUUAUGGAAAUCACUAACUAUAUAUUUUUUUACCUCUG